rnacentral:rRNA from 1 species
AAUGCUUAGGAAUCUGCCUAUUAGUGGGGGACAACAUUCCGAAAGGAAUGCUAAUACCGCAUACGUCCUACGGGAGAAAGCAGGGGACCUUCGGGCCUUGCGCUAAUAGAUGAGCCUAAGUCGGAUUAGCUAGUUGGUGGGGUAAAGGCCUACCAAGGCGACGAUCUGUAGCGGGUCUGAGAGGAUGAUCCGCCACACUGGGACUGAGACACGGCCCAGACUCCUACGGGAGGCAGCAGUGGGGAAUAUUGGACAAUGGGGGGAACCCUGAUCCAGCCAUGCCGCGUGUGUGAAGAAGGCCUUAUGGUUGUAAAGCACUUUAAGCGAGGAGGAGGCUACUAGUAUUAAUACUACUGGAUAGUGGACGUUACUCGCAGAAUAAGCACCGGCUAACUCUGUGCCAGCAGCCGCGGUAAUACAGAGGGUGCGAGCGUUAAUCGGAUUUACUGGGCGUAAAGCGUGCGUAGGCGGCCAUUUAAGUCAAAUGUGAAAUCCCCGAGCUUAACUUGGGAAUUGCAUUCGAUACUGGAUGGCUAGAGUAUGGGAGAGGAUGGUAGAAUUCCAGGUGUAGCGGUGAAAUGCGUAGAGAUCUGGAGGAAUACCGAUGGCGAAGGCAGCCAUCUGGCCUAAUACUGACGCUGAGGUACGAAAGCAUGGGGAGCAAACAGGAUUAGAUACCCUGGUAGUCCAUGCCGUAAACGAUGUCUACUAGCCGUUGGGGCCUUUGAGGCUUUAGUGGCGCAGCUAACGCGAUAAGUAGACCGCCUGGNGAGUACGGUCGCAAGACUAAAACUCNAAUGAAUUGACGGGGGCCCGCACAAGCGGUGGAGCAUGUGGUUUAAUUCGAUGCAACGCGAANAACCUUACCUGGCCUUGACAU